rnacentral:rRNA from 1 species
CCUACGGGGGGCUGCAGUGGGGAAUAUUGGACAAUGGGGGGAACCCUGAUCCAGCCAUGCCGCGUGUGUGAAGAAGGCCCUCGGGUUGUAAAGCACUUUCAGUGAGGAAGAACGCCUGGUGGUUAAUACCCAUCAGGAAAGACAUCACUCACAGAAGAAGCACCGGCUAACUCCGUGCCAGCAGCCGCGGUAAUACGGAGGGUGCGAGCGUUAAUCGGAAUUACUGGGCGUAAAGCGCGCGUAGGUGGCUUGAUAAGCCGGUUGUGAAAGCCCCGGGCUCAACCUGGGAACGGCAUCCGGAACUGUCAAGCUAGAGUGCAGGAGAGGAAGGUAGAUUUCCCGGUGUAGCGGUGAAAUGCGUAGAGAUCGGGAGGAAUACCAGUGGCGAAGGCGGCCUUCUGGACUGACACUGACACUGAGGUGCGAAAGCGUGGGUAGCAAACAGGAUUAGAUACCCCAGUAGUC